GAAAAGAGAAACACAUGUCUAAAGUGAUUCUUUGGAGUUAAUAUCAGAAGUGCCAGAAGAUCAUCUAAUAUGCAGUUCAUCAUGUAGUGAUUUGAACAGCAUUUGGGAGCCUCAUGUGACUUCAUUGAAGGAACACCUAUAAACAAACACUGCUUAAAGUGUUUUGCCUAUGAGCUAACAAUGUCAGUGAUGUCUACAGAGAGCUAAAGCCACUCGAAGAAUCCACAGCAACUUCUUUUGGUCAGUGAACACAGAAAUGGAGUAUCUCCACGUUGGCCAAGAUGGUCUCAGUCUCCUGACCUUGCGAUCCACCCACAUCGGCCUCCCAAAAUGCUGGGAUUACAGACGUGAUCCACCAUGCCCAGCCAGCCAUUGUUUAUUAUGGCAUUCUCAGGGUGAAAUUCAACAGAACUGCUUUACAGUGAAGGUCUUGAAGCCCACAAGAAACAUUCUUCUGGACAAAUUAUCGGGAGGUCAAGAGAAGAAUGCAUUUGCCAGACCAAUAGCUGCAUAUCAAGUGCCAGAGGAUGUGGUAAAUUGCUCAAGCAAUGAAACCGGUUCUGGUACCGGAGCUGCAAUUGGCAUCACCACCUGGAGAUUUACCAUAGAGUAUCACAGAGCUCUUCAAGGAUGCUGGGGCUCCCCUCACAAAAUUGUUUCUUACAGUCACAAUGCAAGGACUUUGCCAACAAUGUUGAACAGAGUGGUCUAA
rnacentral:lncRNA from 13 species